GCCUCCUCAAGAGUCAGAGGAGAUCCUGGGCUCUAUGUGGAUCACUUGAGCUCAGGAGUUCUAAGCUACAGUAAGUUAAACUGAUUUGUUGUCUGCACUAAGUCCAGCCCCAACAUGGUGAGUCCCCAAGAGUGGGGAACUAUCAGGCUGACUAAAGAGGGGCAAACCAGCCCAGGCUGAAAAAAGAGUGGGUCAAAGCUCUUGGACUAAUCAACAGUAGGAUUGAGACUAUGAGUGGUCCCUGUACUGUCAGCCUGGGUGAGAUAGGGAAACCAUAUU
rnacentral:SRP_RNA from 1 species